GACGAACGCUGGCGGCGUGCUUAACACAUGCAAGUCGAACGGAAAGGCCCUGCUUUUGUGGGGUUCUCGAUUGGCGAACGGGUGAGUAACACGUGAGUAACCUGCCCUUGACUUUGGGAUAACUUCAGGAAACUGGGGCUAAUACCGCAUAGGAGCUCCUGCUGCAUGGUGGGGGUUGGAAAGUUUCGGCGGUUGGGGAUGGACUCGCGGCUUAUCAGCUUGUUGGUGGGGUAGUGGCUUACCAAGGCUUUGACGGGUAGCCUGCCUGGGAGGGUGACCGGCCACAUUGGGACUGAGAUACGGCCCAGACUCCUACGGGAGGCAGCAGUGGGGAAUCUUGCACAAUGGGCGGAAGCCUGAUGCAGAAACGCCGCGUGCGGGAUGACGGCUUUCGGGUUGUAAACCGCUUUCGCAGGUGCCGAAGAGUGAGUGGCGGUAAUGGGUAAAGAAGCCACGGCUAACUACGUG
rnacentral:rRNA from 1 species